rnacentral:tRNA from 1 species
GGAGAGGUAUCGAAGCGGUCAUAACGAGGCGGUCUUGAAAACCGUUUGGGCGCAAGCCCACGUGGGUUCGAAUCCCACCCUCUCCGCCA